UACAGAGGGUGCAAGCGUUGUUCGGAAUUAUUGGGCGUAAAGCGCGUGUAGGCGGCUUUGCAAGUCGGGUGUGAAAUCCCUCAGCUUAACUGAGGAAGUGCGCCCCGAAACUGCAGAGCUUGAGUACCGGAGAGGGUGGCGGAAUUCCCCAAGUAGAGGUGAAAUUCGUAGAUAUGGGGAGGAACACCGGUGGCGAAGGCGGCCACCUGGACGGUAACUGACGCUGAGACGCGAAAGCGUGGGAGCAAACAGG
rnacentral:rRNA from 1 species